GGACCCGCACAAGUAGUGGAGCAUGUGGUUUAAUUCGAAGAUACGCGCAGAACCUUACCAACACUUGACAUGUUCGUCGCGACUCUAAGAGAUUAGAGUUUUCGGUUCGGCCGGACGAAACACAGGUGCUGCAUGGCUGUCGUCAGCUCGUGUCGUGAGAUGUUGGGUUAAGUCCCGCAACGAGCGCAACCCUCACUUUUAGUUGCCAUCAUUAAGUUGGGCACUCUGAAAGAACUGCCAGUGAUAAGCUGGAGGAAGGCGAGGAUGACGUCAAGUCCUCAUGGCCCUUACGUGUUGGGCUACACACGUGCUACAAUGGUAUUUACAAUAGGAAGCAAGAUGGCGACAUCAAGCAAAUCCUAAAAAAUGCCUCAGUUCGGAUUGUACUCUGCAACUCGAGUACAUGAAGCUGGAAUU
rnacentral:rRNA from 1 species